CUGUCAGAGAUAUGAUGUCAUCACAUAUCAGGUAGCGUCUAGAAAACUUCACUGUACCCUCUUGAGAUAAUGAGAGUGUAAAGGGCAAAUAAUGUCUAAUAUUAUUGUGAAAAUAGUUUGACCUUACAGACCUCUCAUAAGUGUUUAGGAGACCACAGAAGUCCCUGGGCCACCCUUUGAGAACCACUGGCAUAGAAAUUUUAGUGCAGAACACACAACUCUUUUUGAGUUUUUGUGACCUUUUUGGUCAAACAUCUACCAAAACAUUUCUGACUCGCUCAUACAAAUUGUCAUCUGGGCCAAACAGAGACUUACUCUGUAAUCCAAAACUAUGAGCCUUAUAUUUCUAAUCCCACAACUCGAAAUUAUAUAUAUUUGCUCUUGAUGUGAAUACUCAGGUUUAAUAUGUGAAUCAUUCCUUAGAUAAGAACAGUAUUUAUGGUGAGUAUGUGAUAAUUAUUAUGAAUCUGAGAUGAGAUAUUGACUACACAGUCAAUAUUUCACAAAACUAUAAUUCAUAGUUAUUGGAAUCUCUAUGUGGGUCUAGUUUCUGAAAUCCUCAAUAAUGUCAUUGGCUUUAGUUUCAACACAUUAAGAAAAAUGGAUCAGAGUUAACUUGACUUUUUCUAGUUUUGAAAGUGUUUUUAUUUUUAUAUUUUAACUUUUGGCAUUCAUGGUCCUUUGCAUUUGCUUUCAUUAUCCAAAUUGCAUUUAUACCAGUGCUUAGAGGAUGGAAUUAAUGUCAUUUUAAAAUAUUGAUUUAUUUUAUUUGCUGUAUAGAAAAUGGGAUGGUAAGUGUACAAAAACCAUGAAACAGUUCUGUUAUUUUCCUAGGACAAGUGAAAAAACAUUUUCUAAAAUUCAGGUGACAAUAGAAAAUAGGAUCUAUAACCAAAAUAACCACAGAGUAGAAAAAUGAAGCCAUUUUAUCAGCCACUGUAGUUCAUGCCUUGGUGUGCAAAAUAAAUAUAAAUUUUAAACCACUUGAACUCACCUACUUUUUUAUGCCACCAAAGUUCAGAAAUAAGAAGGACUUUUCACAAGAGACUAUAAAACUAAAUGUCUAAGAACUGCAAUCCUAUUAGAGAUUUUAAAGCAUACAAUUUAUUUGGCUUUUCUAUCAAGAUGAGAAUAAUAGGUUAAGUUUAGGAUAAGCAUUCUGGAAUUGACCAUCAACAUCAUCACUAUGGAUAUCUUUUAAAUGUACAUAAAUGAUUUUAUGACCAUAAUACAUAACUUACAUUUCUUUUGCUUUAUGCCCAGUUGAAAAUAUGAAGGAUUUUUUGUGGAUAGAAGUGCUUUCUUAGGUAUAGAAUUUAUAUAUAUGUGUAUAUAUGCAUAUAUAUGCAUAUAUAUAUAUAUGAGGGAAUGUUCACGAAAAUUACUUGCCACCAUAUAUGUAUACACACACACACACACACAUAUGUAUAUGGGGAUGUAUAAGUAUGUAUACAUGCGUGUAUAUAUGCUAUGUGUGUACAUAUACUAUGUAUGUACACAUAUAUAUAGUGGUGUGUUACCUUCAUUUGCAUUGCCUACAAAGCCAGUCAGAAUGUAGAUAAUUCUUCACUGUACACUGUUCAUCUUUAGGAGAUCAAGCACUCAGGCACCAUCCUUUGAACAUCACAAACCACAAGUCCUUUAAGAUUUAGGCCAGAUGAAGCCCUUAUUUCUAUGAAACGUUUAAUCUAAGUCACACUUUUUGCCAGUGUAGAAGUUAUGUUCAUCACACAACCCAUAAACCUUGCUGACCAAAUGUUCUACAUAUACAGAUAUGUAUCUGGACUGAAAUUUUAUAUAAUGUGUAUAAUAUAAAAUUAUAUCAUAUUAUACAUAUAUAUAUACACAUAAAAAUAUAAUAUAAUUUGUAGCAAGAUAUAACCUUUCUCUUUUGGCAGAGUUUCCCUCCAUUUUUGCAAGAAAUUCUAAUACACUUCAAAGGCCACCUAGCAUGCUGCCAGGAGAGGAGAUGUGCUUUGGAAUAAGAGUCCAUUAUUUCAACUCAAUGAACAUUUUAUUAUUUUUUAAGUGAAUGAAUGUGUUCAAUGUUUCACAUGUUUUCCUAAUAGACCUCAAAAUUUUUCAGCAGAACCUAAGGAAGCUGCUUUGAGAGAGGAUGGUAUGGUCCAAGAAUAAUAUCCUACAAUGCAUAUUUGUAUCCAAAGUGGUUUAUGCAGGUGUGAGCAAGUGGUGUUUGUAAAAAUCCUGUUGAAUAGACCACAUUCUUUCAGUACACUAAUUGCUGUUUAAUUGGUGCCUCCAGAAAAGCUACUAUUGGAUGGCAAUGAUCAAAUCAUCCUCUCUCCCAAUGUGUCCACAUAGAAAGUUCUGUCAGGCCUCUUGUUAUAAAUUUAAUGAAGAUUGAGGGAAUUCCUGCAGUACGGGUAGAAGAAAUUGGUCUAGUUGAACUUUAGGCUCUGAAAUUCUAGUAUUUCAAUUCCUUUUGAAUCAAAGAUUAUCUUAAUACCCAGCCCUUCCCUUCAUUAAGUCAUGAGUGCAGUGUUUCCUACAUUCAAAGUGCAGUAGUAAUUUGACAUUUGAGGGAUAUACCGAGACUUUCAGAAAUCACUAAGGUUUAAAUGUGUAAUUGUCACUAUAGCUAUUUGAUUUUCUUCUCAAAUCACUUUUCCACCAAAUCACCUGAUUUUGAUGCAUAUUUUUCAUACCACAGUUUAACUGGUGCUUGAGUGUUAUGGUCAUAUUGCUGAAGGAAAAAUGAAUUACUGCCUAUGGGAUGGGACGUAUAAGACAACAAUACAGCAUUAAAUUGUCACCAUUGAGUGGCUUGCUGGGUCACUUGCUAACUUAGCUACUGGUCCUAAACUAGCUUCUCAGUGAGUAUAACACAAAAUCUGUCUCACAUUAUUAAAUAAUACGUGAUGAGGCCUUUAGGAGUCCUUGUUAAUAGUCAGAAUUACAACUGCUAUAUUACAUACUGCUAUAGUCCCCAUGCCAUUAUUAAGAAAAUAUACUUAUUAAAAAUAUUUACAGGCCAGGCACAGUGGCUCAUGCCUGUAAUCCCAACACUUUGAGAGGCUGAGGCAGGCGGAUCACUUGAGCCCAAGAGAUUGAGACCAGCCUGGACAACAUGGUGAAAGCCUCAUCUCUACCAAAAAAAAAAAAAAAAAAUUACCCAGGUUGAGGUGCCUGUGGUCCCAGGUACUCAGGAGGCUGAGGUGGGAGGAUCACCUGAACCUGGGGAGGUUGAGGCUGCAGUGAGCCAUGAUUGUACCACUGCACUCCAGCCUGGGCGACAGAGAGAGAGAGAGACCUUGUCUCAAGAAAACAAACAAACAAACAAACAAAAUAUAUAUAUAUAAAUAUAUAAUUCCAUCUUUUUAAAUUCACCAUGAUGCCAGACGCUUCAAGACAUACUUAAAAUAAUUAGACAUAUAUUUACAAUCUACUAGGAAAGAGAAGAUAGGCAAAGAAAUAGCUACUAUAUGAGGUGAUAUGUCAUCAAUUGUUAUAAAUCUUCCCAGAAAAGGUGUUUCUUCUCCAGCUGGGAGAAUUGGGUGGGAGGCACCCCUGCUGGUUUGGAUGGAUGGUUAUGGAAUUCGGAGAACAUAAUAGACACUCACGGAACGUUGGCUCUGUGACCUUCUUGCUGCUUUCCUAGUGCUGACCUAAGUGAACAAAAUCCAGAUUCAUCAUUAUUUGAAAACAAAAUCUCUACCUCAGACAUAUCAGAACUUUCCUGAGUUCUCUGUUCUAGCUUACGAGAAUAAUUUUGCAAUGAGUCAUAUCUGGACAUGGUUUCAUGUUAAUCAGUUUCCAGGUAAAAAUUCUUAUUUUUAAACAUUUGUCUUUUUCAAGUGAUUAGGAGUCUUGGGCUUUGUUUUGGUUUUUAACCUCUAACUACAAAACUAAACAUGUAUACUUGCUUUCAGAAAUGUAUUCCAAACUAAUACACUCCCCUGUCUUUCAUCCAAUUACGGAGGUGUGGCUAAGACAAACGGUUUUAUUUUACCCCUUCAUGAAAGACAAGGUAGAAUCUGAGUGUAGUUUGGAAAAAAGUUUUAGUUUAUUUUUUCAUAUUUUCCUCCAAGCGAGGCUGAAAUCCUCUUUUGCAAACAAGAGGAAUGAAAGGGUGUGUAUUCACAGCACAUCCAAAGGAAGUAACCCUCAUCCUCGUUUUCUCACUUUUUCGUAUUUUUCAAGGGCUUACUUUUUAUUUCCUACAGAGCUUAAUUUUUUUUUUUUUUUUUUUGAGACGGAGUCUUGCUCGCUCGCCCAGGCUGGAGUGCAAUGGCACCAUCUUGGCUCACUGCAACCUCCGCCUCCUAGGUUCAAGCAAUUCUCCUGCCUUAGCCUCCCAAGUAACUGGGAUUACAGGUUCACACUGCCACACCCAGCUAAUUUUUUGUGUGUGUAUUUUAGUAGAGAUGGGGUUUCACCAUGUUGCCCAGGCUGGUCUCAAACCCCUGAGCUCAGGCAAUCCACCCGCCUUGGCCUCCCAAAGUGCUAGGAUUACAGGCGUGAGCCACCACACCAGGCCAAAAUUUCUUUUAUUAUCCCCACACAAAAUAUAAAAUUCAAAACCCUGUUAUGUCUUGCCUCUUAUCAUGUGUUCUUCUGCUGGGACCCCUGGGUUGGAAAUAUUUGCCCAUCACCACAUCUAGAUCUGGCAUAUCCGUGUCCUAUACUGAUCAGUUUGGAGGAAAGCCAGUGUGGGGGAUUGUAAUUCCCACCCCUUCCUGGAUGGUCUGGGCCUCAUUCCUUUGCUCUUUACAUCCUUAGAUCCACUGUGCCCCUGUGUAUCUCUUGUUCUUGGGGCUGAAAUCGCAGCCCUUAAGCACAUCACAAAGACUUCAAAAUUCACAGGAGUAUAAAUUGUGUCAAAUGAGCACGUGGUUCUGGAACUGGUCCAUUUCAUACAUCACCUCAUUUCUUUGCUUUGUGGGCCUGCAGGGCUUUGGAAGUAAAUUGGUGCUACAGCAACUUCCACUUAAUUUGCUCAGUGGUUAAAUUGAUCUAUCUCUUUUAUUUGAUCGGAUCUCCAGGAGCCGAAUCAUUUGCAUUGAUUUAUUGAUUGGUGCUAUGUUUUCACCAUUAGUUUUGAUCACUUUCAGCUGUUAAUAUUGGAUAAUUCAAUCAGGAUUGAUUGGCCUUACCAUUGAAGGCAGAAAGUUAAUCACAUAGGACACAAACAGGACAUGGCUAAGCUAACCUCAGUUUGUUAUUCUCUCUCUCCGUUCCAACCCCCCAUCAUCUAUGCAGUAGCAAAAAGACUAGAGUUUUUCUUAAGCAAAGGAGGGAAGUUGCAGUUGUAUAGCAUUCAUAAUGCGUCUAAAGUAAGAUAGUUUUAUUUGGCUUUUUAAUAAAAUUGCAUCUAGAAAUUAAGCAAGCAUACAGAAAGAUAAGCAUGAUUAUCACAAUGAACUCAUUUGGACUAAAUGAGUAAAUGUAUUUUCAAUUACCUGUUUUGUACAAUAAAUGCCUAAUCUGUGUGUGCAUGCUUGGAGGCACAACCUGGGCUCACCUUUUUCUAAAUUUGGCCCUUCCUGCUUCACCAUGUGUCCUGGUAGUCAAAUUUUCAAGAAUCAAGUGGUUAAUAUGACUGAAGUAAGGGCAACAGAGGUAAUUGCAAUAAGCUGAAACCACUUUAUUUGCAUUUGAAUUGUUUCUACAGCACCCCAGCUCAGUUUUUAAAAAUUCUCCAUCCAUUAAUUUCUUGAUGUUCAUAUCGAUGGCUGAUUUUCGCUAUUAAAAGAGGGAGCACCACCUCUUCAUUCUAGGACUCGUUUCCUCCUCCAACAGCCCUGUUGUUAGCGAGCUGCCAUUACAUUAUUUUUUUGUCUGGCCCAGAGUUGACGACAGAUGGCCAUCUCCGAACUGCCAUCAGUGCGGGUUUAUGGAGCAUCCAGCCAGGGUGUACUGAAGAGCACUGUGGCCAGUUCUGCAGCCCCCUCCCUCCCACCCCCUGGAAAUGUUCAUCACCUCUGCCACAUUCUGCUUUGGCUGGGCUCUGCUGGCCCUGCCAUUUUCCAUGUCGCCAAGACAGCCUGCUGCCAUAGCACCAGAAGAUCUGCCUCCAUUAGGAAGGAAAGACUGCAUGUGUGACUGUCUUGUAAAGACAGAGCUCUGUCUCAGCGCCUUUGUAGUCGGAUCCUUUGGAGAAAUCCAGAAAUCCAAAUUUCCAAAACAUUCUGCAAUCUAGAGAGGCACAUGGAAUUGCCACCUGUUUCUAUUUUAGAUGUUUGCACCACACAUGGAUCAGUUUCCUCACAUUAGCAGAGACAAAGUGGCAAGAAUAGACCCUUUAUGUUUACAAACUUUCCUCUAACUAUUGGGAAACACCACUUCCAUAUCCAGCUGUUGUGACAAUUAGGGUAAGAAAGAUAGUAAUCAUGGGCUUCCACUAUAAAUCCCCUGAAACGAGCAAAGAAUCCAUUCCAGCGUCUUCCUGAUCCAUCAAUGUGGCGAUCCCUCGGACAGCCGGGUGAAAUGAGCUGCUGCUGUGCAUUUGGAGAAAGAUUGAUAGGCUGCUCUUGAUCGAGUUUGCUAAGGCCAGGCAGCUUCAGAGCCAAACGUGUAUUUUAAGAGGAAUUCACAUUUGUAUCCUUUAUUGUUAUAUUUGCAACGAAUCUACAGCUUGGAACAGGCUCUGCCCUGCAGCUAUGAAGGAGUAAGUUCCCCUUAUUGGAGAGAGAGAGUAGUGUUCUGUAAAAGCCUGAGAUGUGGCGGCGAGAUGAAUAGUGCUUAAAAGCUGUGCUUGCGGUGCUGUCAUUUAGAACAGCAACUCCGAGGCUUUAAACGGGAGUGAAGGGCAGGGUAAACGAGUCCUUUAAUAGUGGUGAAAUUUUAAACUGCCUAAAAUAACAGGUCUCCUUCAUUGAUAACUUCAUUGAAUGAGUGAGUGGAAACUAACUGGCCAGGAACUGCUUUCCCAUAGGAGGGCCAAGUUUGCAAAAGCGGGGCUUUUUCCUUGGGCCCCUCCAUGUCUGGGAGGACAGCUUCUUUCCUGCGUGAUCCCUGCCCCUGCCUUGAUAGCAGCUCCUGGCUGGCAGGAGACCAUCCUUCACUGGAAACCCAAAGCGCCCAUAAAAGACUUCCUUUUUCACAUUGCCAAAACUUAAUUUUAUAAUUGUCUGACUUACACCACUGGGCACAUCUGCUAAGCUUGUGUGCCUUCUAGACAUAAAAAAGGCUACUGUGAUACCAUUAAAUAUCAGCAGUGUGCUUUGCUGUGCUUUGAGUUUAUAAGGGUGAAAGGUGAUUGUGCAGGAAAAUGGAACAGUAUAUUUGCUGUGAGACAGGCACCAAGACUUCACUCCCAUACUCAGUUAUAAUUCAUGACAGUACUGGUGGGAAGCCCUUAUCCCUCUGUGGAGUUAAUGCAUCUCCCCUGAAGCCUGCUGAGAGCACCCUGCGUCCCCCCCCACCAUCUGUGCGCUCACUUCCUAGCUGUCUUCUCUCUUUCACUCUCUCUCUCUCUCUCUCUCUUACUUUUUCCUGAGAUCUCUUGGUGUUAGUAUAGUCAGACUGCUACUGAAUUGUAAAACUGGUUCUCCAAAGCAGAAUUGUCAUUUAACUAGGGGAAGAGCUCGGGAGAAUGUAUUACAGCAUUGUUUAAUGUCUCAUUUAGAAAAUGUCGAUUAGAAAUUAGAGAAGCAGCAAUGCCUUAAACCCGUCGCUGACUCUGAGAGCCGAGGCUGUGCUGCUAAUCAUCGAUGAGUAAGAGGUACCCAUGGCCUGAGCGUGGAUGGAGGCCAGGGACACAAAACAAGGUGUGCAUCACAACCCAAACUAACCAACCCUGUGCUGAACCUGAGUUCAGUGUCCUGGAAGUCGAACUUGAGUGAGACCAAGGUCCUGAGAACUGCUUGCCCACUCUGUCCAUUGGCCUGGGCCAGCCAGUGGCAUGAGCGCCAAUCCAGACCCCACGCGCUGGCCCCGUCUGCCAUGCGAUGCCACCCACUCUGAGGACCAGAACUAAUUGCCUUGGAGCUCCCCAAGUCUCAGUUCAAAAUGAUCAAACCCCUGGGUUGUACAGAACUUCACUUAAAAGAGCAGUGGUGAUUUGUGCGAUGCAAGCCACAGUCUAAAGCGAAAGAAGCCAAGAUGGUCAAAUUUGUUGCAGCCCAGAGCCGGCAGAGGGUCACAGAAAUAGGUGGUUUGUUCCCACUCUGUCCUAUCCCCUUGUGUUCUCUCCCACCUCCCCCGCCCUCUGCACUCCCACUUUCUGCUGGGAGCCCAGAAGGUGAUGGGACAUGCGGAGGGCGUGUGCUGAAACAAAGGAUGAAACUGCACCUCGUUCAUAGCCAACCCAAGAUUAAUUUGCAACAUUUCAUAGUAUGUGUUCUUGCCAUACUCCAUUGUUAGUACUCCUUUUAAAAGAUAAAUCAAAUCCGGGUCUGAAAUACCAGUGUAUGCAUUUAACAGAUGUGAUGCCAUAGGGGACCUACUGUGUUAUAAGCUGCAGAAAUGGCCUUUUUAUGCCUUAGACUCCACUUAUUCCAAAGGGGCUUUAGAACUGCAGCGGCGGGGUGAGAGGUCAUGCAUUAAGACAGCAGCACCCACGCAUAAUUCUGCCUCGCGUGUAAUUGGCUCACGGUCUCAUUCUGAUGUUUGGGUGGCGUUAGUCACAUCGUCUCGUUCAUUCUCCAAAGGAAAAGUAGGGCAAGAAUGGCCGUGUUCACUGUCCAGGUUUUCUUGGGUGAAAGAUCACUUUGAGAUGACACAGCUGAGUAGUCAGCCUGAAAUCCUGGUUGGUAUUUUAUUAAUUUUGCACCAAGAUAAAUCCUGAAAUUCUGACAAACUCCAUGACAGGUGAAAUUCCUUCUUGCAGAAUCUGCGCAGCAAGAGGCUGCUCAUUUCGUUCUGUUCCGAGGCAGGCAACAGGAGGGCAGCUUUAUAAUCAGCCCUCAAAGGACCCCCAGCCGCCCCAGAGUCUCGGGCUGAUUGAAUAACUCCUGGGCCUCUUCCCCUAGGCCUCCAUCAGCGGGGGUCCUGUGGAAAGCAAUCUCCCGCAGACUGGCACUGAAGUGAGCUUUAAACCACCAUUUUCUGCUCUCCAGAGGAGCCUGGAGUACUAAAAGAUAGAUGGACUGCAGAUAUUUUAUGAGAAACUGUCAGAAGAAGAGCAGAGUAAAUGUUUUUUUUUCUUCUUCUUCUUUGAGUCACACACUACAUCACUGUUGAAUUUCUCCCAGAAUCUUUUACAUUUCAAGUGAGAAAUUAAUUGGUUGCUAACCUUUAAUUCCCCCCCUCCCUCUUCUUCGUUGUCUUCCUCUUUUUUUUCUUAAAUAUUCACACAGAGGCCCUCUGCUUAACCACAGUUGCAGAAAAUCAGUACCAUUUGCAAUGAAAUAUUUAUAAUGACAGAAUGAAAAAUUGGAUUCAUUUUCUGGACUGUAGCCGAACAGUCUGCAACUUUGGUGCGGCAUUGUUUAGCAUCUCUCAUUCCUCCCUUUCAUUGGCGUCGUUUUCGGAAACAUAACGCAUGGACGUUCACCUAUGCUUUGGAGGGAUGCCUACCAAAACACAGAGCCUGUGUUUACGCUUAAAAAAAAAAAGAGAGGAGAAAGGCACAUGUUUGUGUUGUGCUGCUAUGUGGGGGGCACGCGGAUGUGGCCCAUAAAAAGGUAGAGAGGACCUGAACUCUGUCAAAAGGAAGGGCGUGCUUGCUCUGUAGGGAAGAGCUGGGAGAAGUUUAUAAGGAAUACAGGAGACAGUCUGGCCUGGACUUUGUAGCAGAGCACAAAUAGCAAUCAGCAUGCCAUCGUAUCUUGGGGCAGAUUUAUAAGGGGAACGGGAAGGCAGAACAGAGGUGAGUAAAUACACGUUGAAUAACAUAGCUCACGUUCUUUCUUCCCUUCAGUGUUUGCUGUGUAGGCUUUCCUUGCCAUGUGACCCUUGUAUUCAGAAUUCAGAGCUGUCUCCUAACCCGGGCUGAUGACUGCAUUUUUUAAGAGAUAAGAGACGAAAGGAUUUUGCUAGGACAGCCCAGUGUUGUAUUUUAAACAAGUCUGCCUCACAAGUGUGAGAGCCACAACAAUACACUGACUCUUAUUACAGGGCUGGGUAGGAUUUGUAGCAAGUUGCCUAGGCAGUACAUUUGGGUCUAGCAAAUAAGUUUGUACUCACUACUCCACAGACAGGCCCAAAGAGCCUGCCUGUUUCUUCUCCCUCCGUUGGAAUAGAACGAGGGAUUUUACCCUAUAAGGGGGCCAUCCCAGCCUUCCAUCCCAGGCCUCUGUGUUAACUUUUCUUUGUCCUUUUUGGAACACUGGGUUUAAUUAGUUUUAGUGUUGUUUUAUUUUGAUGGUUUUUCAAAAGUGAAAAUAGUUCAGGUAGAUUCAAGCGUCAAUACAAAUAGCCUCAAAUUCCAAUAUUGGAGGUUUCCUUCACUGAAUUUGCAUCACGCAAUUGCCAACUCCACAAGAUCAAUAAUCCAUAUUUUAUUAUAUAAUAAAGGCUGCCUGUAAGUGAAUUGGCUCAUUCAUUCCAUCUGAUUAGCUCGAUUGUAUUCAUGGAGAGAAAAAAGAAUACAAACUUACCUUCACCAAUAUAUUGCAUUAUUUGGAUAUAAAAAGCUUCCAGCACUAUAAAACAAUUGCAUAGGGAUAAGAGAUAAUUCAUUUCAAUAUUUGUUUACUCUAAGAAGAAUAUGACUCCUAUCAUCCUGCAAUUUUUGGUGACAACUUUAAGUUUCACAUCCAUUGCGUGGAACUGGUCUCCGGUCAGCCUGGUCUGAGCACCCUGUAACAGGUCUUUCUUCCAACCAACAGCAAGAAUCCCACUCCAAAAUUCUGAAAAACAACUGGGAUAAACAGUCUUUUUCUUUUAUAACCCUUGGAGAGAUUCACCUUUUACUUACCCUAAGGCCAUUUCCUCUUAUUCAUCCACGGAUUACCAUUUUCAAGGUUUUUGAACGCUCACUGUGUUCUCUGAAGCAAAAUCUUAGCACAGAUUUGUGCCCACUAAGGUGAUGAGAAACACUGAGCAGGAAAGGAGUGGUUCAUUACUGGGAUCUCUCAAGAUCAUGAUGCUUAGUUUAACUUGUGGGUGACACAUACUUUCUCAGAGGCUUGGAGGUUUUAUACAGGCUUCCAGAUUUGUCGUUACAUUGCAUUCCAAAAAAAAAUGAUUUUGAGAAAUAUGCUGACAGUUCAGCAUGAAAUGAUGUGUGUUCUGACACACACUGCAUUGUAGCUUAGGAAUCUAGCCUGAAGUAAUUUUUCUGUAGCGUUUCUAGGACUCUGAUUCAGGGGAGAAAAAGAAGUUCCCUUUAAAGCAUAUGUUUUAGGAUGUGACAAUAACUUUUCUCCUGCGCCGUGCGUGGAUUCAGUAGACUGUUUCCACUUAACCCUUAUUAUUGUUUUCUUUCUUGAGUGCCAGGGUUAAGGAGAAGAAAUUUUUUCUUCCAUUAGUUUUUCAACAACUUAGGUGAGUCUGAAAUAUAUACCCAAGUAAAUGGGAACUGUAAUAGUGGUGUGUUCAGAAUCAAUCUCCUCUGCAGACCAGGCAAGGAACAUUGAAUAGCGUUCAUUUAUGCACUGCCAGAUGUAUUUCUGCAUGUGACUGGGCUCGCCAAACCGCUUUGAAUGAUUUUCAGUGUUAUUAAGCAAACUCACAGGAGCAACAGGACUCGUGACAGAAGUAAAGAGCCCGGUGGCAGGAGUCAUUGGUGAAGGAAAGUUGCACGGAAAGAGAAGCACCACAAUGCAGACUCUAUUUUAAUAUCUGAGCUAACAACUCUCUGGGAAUAUUUCUCUUCCUCUUGUCCAGCUCCUUCUGUGUUGUGGCUGGUUUGCAUUUGUGUUUGAAGUGCCAGGCGGUUUAAUGAAGUUAUUCUUUUAUAAAUUUUGCAACACUGAAGCAAGCAUGAGGGCUUUAAAUUAGAAUAAGUGCCACUUCUGUAUGGCAGGUUCCUUUGAGGACUGAUUAGAAUGAGGCCUCCCGUUGCCUGGCCCUUUAUGCAUGGCAGUGUUGCUGUGUGUUCUUGUUUACGGCUCACCUUUGAAUUUGCAUGAGUUUGCACCAUGCCUGCCGCCUGGCCCUCUGUUAGUCAGGACUGUCUUUCUUUCAGGAUCAUGUUAAAUACUUCACUUUAAAGAGAUUUUUAAAAUUAUAUUGCUUUAUUGUAAUGAAUUAAAAUUAACUUGGAGUAGCAAAUUAUUUAAGGAUGUGAGGGUUAUAGAUUACUCUCACCAUAGCUACAGCACAUCUCUGCGUGGAGGAAUUAAAGGGUUCUCUUUCCAGUAGCUCUGUGCACCAUAAGGGUUGAGGAAACUGUCCCACAGAGACCUAGAAGUAAAGCCAGAAAAGGUGCCCAGGAAGUGAGAGGAGAAUGGGAACUUCAAGUGUGGGUUUCUGAAGCAAAUAGAAGCUCUUCUUGGCAGGGUAGAGAGUGGGGGCAGCUCUGCCAUUUUAAGACCUUAAAGAGUAUAAGACAAUGGGAAAUCGUGGACAAGAAAGAAUAAAAAUAUAUCUUAAGAACAGGUUUAAUAGAGAAUAGGAAAUGCACCCAACCAUUCCUGACUUCUUUGUGCCUGUAUGAACUUGCUAAUAAACCGGGAUGAUUUUAGGGGGUGGGGAGGGAUCGUUAAAGAAAGAGACCUGAAAUUUUCAACAAUACACAAUAACGUACAGGGAAAAGAGAAAGAAAAGCAAGCACACAGGCAAAAAGAAAAAAGCACUAAACUUGAGUGUGAAAUGUUUUCUCUUCUCCAAACUUGGGUUUUUAAUUUAAAGUAGGGGAUAACCAAACAGAAUUGGGCCUGUGAAAUACUUGCAUUUUUAAAGGGCUUGCUUAGAUCUUAAAACAAGAAUUACUUGGGGCUCCUUCUAAUUGCAUUCUCCAUGCAGGAAUAAGUCCCCAGAGAGACAGAAAGAUCAAAGGCAAACACCAGGAAUUUUACCUGUAGAAGCAAUGCAUGUAUGUAACUCUUUUUUUUGCCCUGCGCAACACUCGCUUAGGCGUGGAAAUGGACAUGCUCACAGGCGUAUUCCCGUGCGUGUGCACACACGCACGCACACACGCGUGUGCACACACAUGUGCACAGACAUGCACACACACAUGCACGCACACACACCUCUCAGGAGGUGGCUCAUACUUAACACAGUUUAUCUAAAUUAAUACAUUGUCCUUUCACAGUUUUAUUUUUAUAUAUCUUUACCAAAGCAUAUGCCAUAGUAGACAAGCUUUUUUUUUUUUUGCUUACGGUGGGGAAAGAUGUUUUUCUGUUAUUCUUAAUGAUUUAUAACAUGUUUGACUUACUCUUAAUGUGAGUUUACCUCCUAGGGAGUGUGGCAGUGUUUUUAAUAAAAGAAAUAAUACACUACAAGGAAGAGGCAUUUCUUUUGCUUUUUGCCCAAGUUCAAUAAACUAUUUUUUGUAAUUAUUGGAAUUUGGUUGAAGGGAAUCCGUGUCCCUAUCAAGUGGAAAAGCAGAAAGAGUCUUGGCUCCCUCCUUCUUCCUACAAAGGUUACCCUUUGAAUAUAAAUUACAACGCCCUGUGCUUCUCCCAUUCUAAUCAGAUGACCUUUUGAAUCUGGUGGACCAGAGUUUAAAUCCUAAGCCUGCCAGUCAGUUUUUAAAUCAAUGCCCUGCUCCACCAUCUUUCAGUGUGUAACUAAAUUUCAAUGGAUUUCAAACACGGAAGUGAAGUAAAUGAUGCCAGUGGAAUCUUGCAGCUGACUGCAAAACAGCCAAACUUAACUCUGAGAUCUUGACCAAGUGAUAUGAUUAUAGUUAAUUUCGCUGACUAAAUUCUCUUCAAAAACCUUCCAGGAUUCAAAAUCUAAGAGAAAAGGGAGGAGUUGGAAUUUUGUAAUGUUUGUAAGAGGACAUUUCUGAGCAAUUAUCAAUUUAAGCUUCCAUUAUUUGCUGCUAAUUGGUACACAAGGCUGUUAAAUAUUUAGCAGAAGUUUGUUUAAUUGCGUUUGACUGGGAAGGGGAUGCUUGAAUAUAGCUUCAGCAGCAAGAGUUGGUUGUGUGCACCGAGAGCUGGCGGAGAGGAAAUUUGUAUUCGCCCAAGAUGAACACAUUACAAUGUCAGACAAGCCUUCUUUUUUCUUCCUUCCAAAGAUUUAUUUAUCUUUAAGGUAUCUAAAAUUAGAGCACGAAGAAGGGGCACUGUUCGUGGAUGUAAAAUUGGAAGGAGGUCAUUCUUAACCUUGUUUACAGAUGUUCUAGUUUAGAAAGCGCCAGUGUGAUAAAUUAAACAUUACAGGGGAAAAAAUUAAAGCUUAGCAACAACUGGCACAUGGACACAUCUGUCUGUGAAGCACUGACUUAAUCCCUGAAUAUCUUAUUAGACAGUAUUGCCUAUCAAAGCCUUCUGUCCCACAGUACGCUGGAAUCCUGCAAUUCCAGAAUCUUGAGUGAAAUCUUUACACUCUCCCUCUCACUGGUGCCGGCUUUAUAUAGUUUGAUUUAAAUUUUCUGCUGGUUUCUUGCAUGGAAACAGACAGCUCAAUUCAUUGUUUUCUUUUAAAAAUAAACAUCGUACUCUUUACUAUAUUUCCCAGUGGCCAUUUUGCUCUUUUUCGCCUGUUCUUCCCUUUCGGCACCUUUUCCCCCCACUCUCAAUGUAGUACAUAGUGCACGCUAUUGUCAGUUGCAAAGAGGGAAAUUUUCAAGCUUGUCAGGUAUGCACAACAGAUAGGGGUCAGCUUGCAACUACAAUUUUACUACUGUUUUUAAGUUCUUAAUGGAAAAUGGGAUUGUCACGAUGUUAACAUUUCCCACGUAUGACGUCACAGCAGAAUUUGUCCUUUGGAAGCUGGUGGACUAAAGGGCUUGUUUUAUAUCUCCAAAAUGUUUAAUUGUCAAAAUACUAGGAAUUGUUCUAUGUUAGCAACUAGGACUUAGCAUUAUUUAAAUAAUUAGUCUUUGCUUAGUCUUCUGAAGACUCACAUUAGACUAAGGUCAAACUGGGUAUUCUUGGUACAUGGUAACCGCCAUGGGCUUUUCCAGCUCGUUUGAUAUUGCAGAAAAUAGCAAAAUGUGGUGAAAAUAGGCCGUUUUUGAAGUGACUCCCUACCUCCCGGCACAGCCGGACAUAUCUGCAGCUCCACCAGAUGCCUCAGCUCCUACACAGUUCCUGCCCUCUGCCCUCUGCCCCCCUGCCUUCUGCCCUCUGGUUCUCAGCUUUGCUGCUGCUCUUCCCUCUACUUCGGGGGCCAUUCUCUCCCUUUUUACCUCUGCCUCCUCAUCUCUCCCGCACCAGGCAUGUGUGACUCCUCCAAGAACAAAGCCUCUGACAUAAGGUGAAGGGCCCUUUCUCUGUGUCCUAGAGCACCCUGUCUCUCCAGAUAGAAGGUUUGGGCUGUGGCAAUGAGUGUCGUUUAUCUGUACAGCUGGCCCAGCCGUGGGACUAACUCUAAGACCUUGAGUGUUGGCUUCUACCCUCUGGGACUUAAUUUUCUCAUCUAUAAAAUAAGAUACUGGACCAGAUGCUGCUGUGUACCACCCCCAACCCCCAGCUCUGAAACCAAUUUUUUCUUUCUCUGCGGUAUUACUUAGAGGUGUAGUUGAUUCACCUGCCAUUGAGUCUAGACCAACAAAUUGAGGAUGAUGGCUCUGUAGUUCUUUCAAAGUAGAUAGUUUUUUCCAUUCCCCAAAUACUGAUUUCCAGAGUUUAAUAUUUGGGUACCUUUAAACAUUAUUAGAUUGCAAAUAUCCCUAAAGCAGCAUUGGUUGAUUGCCACUAAAACGUACCAUCUUUGUUCAUCAAUGGUGUAUGGAUGGUCUGGAUAAGUCACUAAAAGAAUGAACACUUCUGGAAAUACUUGGUUCUUUACAUAAACAAUGCCAUUAUAUAUCUCGGAAGAAUUCUUUCUACAGUUUCUGUAUACUUGCCCAUGUUCACCCAUUGACUACGUUUUACUGCAGUACGGUAUAUAUUUACUGCAGUACAGUCUCAUGUGGUAUAUGUGUCCCUUUGCAGUUCUCUUUUUAAAAUGGGGAAAAUACCAUCUUAUAAUGAAGACAAAGUAGCAUACUCAAGCAUGGUAUAGCAAGCUCAAUGUGUUUUCAAUACAAAGUAAAUUCAAAACAAUUAUAUACCUUCCUUAUGACCACCUGUUCCUGUGUCUGACCUCUAAUUUAAACCUGUCAAUAACAAGACAGGUCAUUAACAAGACCUCCUCAUUACAGCUAUUUAACACACCUCAUAGGCCACCAUUUCUUCUUCCCCUUUAGAUCAGUUCCUCCCUGCAAAUUCUUCAAAACCCUUAAAUUCAGAACCCUCCUUAUUUCCCACCUUUCAUUUAUUCAUGCACAAGUGUUUUUCAAACAGUAUAAGGCAGUGUUCCUCAAUAUCUCCCUGGUGGGAGAGAUGCUUCCCACCAAGAGAUAUGUGGCAGUGUCAGGGGACAUUUCUGCUUGUCACAACUGGGAAGAUGCCACUAGCAUGUUGGCAGUCGUGGCUGAGGAUGCUGCUAAACAUCCUACAAUACCCAGGACAACCCCCUGCAACAAAGAAUUGUCCAGCGCCAAAUGUCAGUAGUGCUGAGGUUGGGAAAACCUGCUUGUGUAAGGCAAGCCCCACUGGCCUUCUAAAAUCUAUUUUCAGGCUCCUCUCUGGAACCAAGCAAGUGAAUGGGAUGUGUUUUAUGUAAUGACUGAGAAAUGGUGUACUGGAUAGUCUUCUAGGUUGCUUUGGAUGAGAUGGAUGAACUUUAUACUAUAGGUACAUGGUCUAGUGUUUGGAACAUAAACUCAUCAACAUGCUUGUCCUCAUCCUUCAGGAUUAUCUCAGAUCACCCUUUUUCUGGACGUAGUUAGCACAAAUGUCCAGAGAACAACAAGAAAAAUGUCCUUCAGUGAGGUUUAUUAGAAUGCGAAAUUGUUUCCUAUGGGAGGUAUGAUAGCAACUUCAUUGCCAGAAUCAUUCAAAACUGGCCUAGUGUGUAAACUUUAUCAGACAAUUAUGUUCCUACAAGGGGACAAACCAAAUGCCCUAAUAGUCCUUUUCCUUCUUUAAUAUCUUGUAUUCUUCUGAUCGCUUCUGAUGAUGCCAUUUCACCUUUUGCUUUAAUAUAGCUUAGUGUCAUCCAGAAAAUGCUUUGAGAUGUCAGACCAAGCCCAUGUGAACUGUUAAAUGUCAAAAGAAAAUGCAUCACUGUCUCUGUAAGUUCAUGGUGAUGACAUUACCAUAUGAAAAAAUAAAAAGGGAAAUUCUGUCAGUGCAAACAUGAUCAUAAAUGCAACAUUCAUGGCAUUAAAGAGAGGGGCAAAAGCAUACAUGACAAUUUGGAAAUGCCAUUGCUGUGUCAUAAUAAAAGAGUAGAACUUCAUUCUAGCAGAUUCUACAAAUGUAAAGAUUAUGAGUCAACUUCCCUGGCUAUGAAAAAAAUCCACUAUGCAUAUGUCUUUUCGAUUCUCAUAGCACUUAGGGAAAAUACUGUAUAUUUGUCCUUUAAAAAAUAUGCAUUGAACUAUAGCAUAGCUCACAAAAAUGCAAUAUCCACAGAUAUGGUCCUGAUGUUUACCUGGUAAGGUCCAUAAAAACACAAUUACCCCAGAUUUCCUCAGCCAGGAAUUAUAUAGUUGUGGGCAGUAGAAACUUUGGGGUGGGCAAAGUAGGGUACUUGAGGGUGAUUUUGGUCUUCAGUGUAAUUUUUAGAACAUUCCUAAUGGUACUCCCAGAGCCGUAGCAAUUUACUUUUAAUCAGUUGAAAAUUAUGAGUACUUUUGUAAUUGUGUGGACUUUGAAAAUGUUAAUUUAUUAACAUUCACAUCCUGUUAACCUUAUUAAGAUGCUUAAAGAUCACCCUUUGCCAUUGUGACUAUUUUUUCUCUUAACGUUCAGGGGAAAUAACCCAGGAUCCUGUCAUCAUUAGCUGUAUACACUUUUAAAACUAUUUUACUAGCAUAAGAAGUUGGGAAUGAAAAGAAGAGAGGGUGGAAAUGUAAAAAUCUUGAUUAGAAAGUAUAAUUUAAUAGAACAUGUAUUGAACCAAAUGUAUUGAUUAAUGUAGAAGAUAUAGUACUUAUAUUGAUUCGAACCAGAGAUUUAGUACUAAAAGCUCUAAGCCAAAAAGCUGUUGCAGAUUGCUACAAAAGUCAGUUUAAUGCUGUCCUUGAGAAUGCCUUCACAAAGAAAUUCUUCUAAUGUUUGAGGACUAGGUAGAAUGCGGUAUAUGUCAGUCUGAUCCCGGAGGGUUUUAUUUUGUACUCUAAUAGCUGUUACGAGCCUACAUUAUAUCCAAGGAGUAAUUUUCCUUAGGGGUGCCCAGCUCGCUUUGUGUCAAUAUUCUAGCAUUUUAAGUCACGUACAGUAUAUGCUUCUGGGAACGGGGAAGGAGCCAGCCAGACUCAUAAUGGUCUGCAUUCAUUAAUAAAGGCAGAAGCUUCUGUCCCUCCAUUGCCCACUACAGGGAUGCCUCUUUGGCCUUCAGGGACCCGUACAGACACAUUUAAAGGAAGCUUUAUUUUGAGUGGGCAGGAGAUGAAAUGUAGGACUUGCAGGCAUUUCCUAAGUCAGCUAUAUGCCCGAGCACAGGGGUGACCUUAAUGGGUCAAAGAAGAAUGCAGGUCAAAAGACUUAUUAUCCAGCCUGUUGGAAACCAAUUGCUUUUGUUUAAAAAAAUAAAAUAAAAAAUGAAAAAAAGCAAUAGUGCUUAAAGGUGGACGGUAAUGUAGAAUUCUGUUUGCAGCCUGUAACUGCACGGCUGUAUGUGAACUAGAAUAUACUUCCAGAAAAAUAAGAGCAUACCGAUUAUCCUCAGUGUUUAUGGAUAAAGGUCCAACCCAAGUGAUAAAAGGAAGGGUAAUAUAAUUAGUUAAUCAGUGAUGAUUGAUUACGGAUGUUUGUGUUCUUCAACUAAAGAAAAAACAACACGCUGCCAUGGUGCUGUCACCAUCUGUUGAAAGAAACAGCCACAUUUAAUCUUUAUAUUUCUUUAUUUCUUCCCGCCUUGCAUUGUUUCUGAGCCACAAUUGCCUACUAUUUCAUCUAGUUAGAAAACAUCUCAUUUAAAUUAAAUACAACUGCAGUUUAAAUUCGGGUUUCUAAUGGCAUAGUGAAUUAGUGGUGGAAAGCUUGUUAUUUUUUUUCAUUCCUUUUUAAAAUAGCAUGCUGGCUCUUUUACUUAGUUUUAAAAGCUUGUCAGAAUUUGUUUGAAACAAAAGGCUAUAAAUAAACAAGUCAUGGUAAAAAUGAUUAACAUCUUUGAAUCAACAGAUUUCACAAAACUUCCAUUCAAAUGCCAUUUUUGUUUUUAUGACCACUGAUAUGUAACAUUUUGCCGAUGCCAACAGAGUGUUACAAAGCACAGACGAGACAUGGUCUCUGCCAAAGAAUUAGAAAAGUGAAGGCCAUCUCUGAGCAUAAGUUUUGGGGUUGGGAAUUUAAUUUUUCAACUCUAGGAAGAUAGGUUCCCCCUGGCUUUCCUCCAAAGCUGAAUUUCAUCAUUGAUGUAGGUGCAAAAAUUCAAAUUUACAUCAAGAUUGCAGGAAAAUGGAAUGUCUUUAGCCAAGGUGAACAGUUUCAAAGGAUCAUGGAUUUUUAUUUUUACUUAAAAAUAUUUUUCUUGGAUUGCAUUUUAAAUAGGAUUAAACUGUUUGACCAGCAAAUGUGGUCAGCUCUCAGAAAAAAAGGAGGCUGAAUUAAUCAUUUGUUAGAGUGCCAAGCCCAAAAUGAGAAUUCCAGUCUUGUAAAAUGAAAGGCAUCUCAUAUUUAAAAAGAAAUACAUAGUGCUAGAAGGGAAUUUUUAAGGCCCUCGUCUGUUUUUUAGCUUUCUAAGUUUAAUUUCACAUUUAUAGAGAAAAAAAAUACAUACAGCACACUCCUUCCAAAUGGGGCCCUUUACAGUAAAGAAAGUGUUUUUGAAACCUCGCUAUUAAGGUAUCAUACCUAGAUGGAUCUUCUUUUCAGCUUUAAGGUAUGUUGUGGAUUUGAUUUUUUUUUAACACAAACCCCCCUCGUGUAAAACAACUGUUCAUAACUGGGAUUAAUGGUUUGCAAUUUUCAGUUACUUAGAUAUGGGGUCUCCAGGAGAUGGCUUUUUGCAGAGUAGAAUAUGGCUCUCUGUGGGAUUACAGAAGUUUUCUUCUCUUCCUACUUCCUUUUCUGUCUUCACCCCCCACCUCCACCAAUGUUGCACUGAUGUUCUUCUCAAUUAUGUAAAACACUUUCCCUUCAUUGGAACAGAUAUUUUUUCUCAUAACCUGUCAUUGCAUUAAAGUACUUUAGGGACUGUGAAUUGCUGUGUAAAAUUGGUGAGAUUACCCACUGCUUUGUUCUAGUGUAGUGGUUUCCUCUGGACCUAAAGAGCUGAAAACUCUUGCACAGAGAGAAGGCUGCUUGUGGAUGGCCUGGCAGCAUUUUUCUGCUUUCUGCUCAUAUGCAUUUGUGUCCUUGCUGUCUCAGGACUGGUUCUGUGGUGUGGCAAGUAGCCAGGGGGAGAGCAAACUGGGCCUCAGAGCCUACCCUCUCUUUGCUUGGCGCUUCUGCUGUCUACUUUUUUAUCCUUCCCACUUGCCUCUUGUCUCCCUUUCUAAAAAAAUAAUGUCUAUGAGCAUCAGAAAACACAAAAAACACUGAGUGCUCCCAUGAAGCUCUAUUCAGAGAAUCUUUAGUCGAGACCAGAGACUAGGACUUCGCGUCUGUUCUCACCAACACCUAAAAGCCAAUCGAAUAAACCAUGGCUCAGAUAUUCCAUUCCUUCCCCCAGAGAAUGAAAUGAGGCCAUUUGUAUUUCCAGUGGACUUGAAAUACUGCGUGGGGGAGGAGAACAGACACAUCCCCCGGAUCCUCAAAGGUGGCAAAGGCAAGCCCUUGAGGAUGGAGCAGAAUCCCAUGGCGGGGUUGUUUCCAACACAAGUAUAUCCAUUGCCCAAGAAGCUCUAGGAACGUGCUGCCUUCCACCAUGAGCAUCACUGCCAAUGGUGGACAGCCAGGCCUGGGGACACCCUGCCAUAGCACUCUGUUGGGCUGGAGCAAAAAAGGGAAACCAAACAAAAUGAGAAUAAGAGAUCUCCGUGGUCUGCAGGCAUCUCCACACCAAGAGGACUUCCUGCCCUUACAUUUCUCAUGCCAGAUUUCUUAGGUUGAUACUACUUACAUUGGGUUGCUUUAUUUUUGAAUUUCACAAGCCAUACCCUUGCCCUUCUCACAAGUGAUUUAUAUUCCUCUCUCUUAUAUGCAAAACAUAACUCCUUUAUGAAACAACUUCAGUCUGUUGUAGUAAGUGAUGUAUGUGUAUUUGUUCAUGUCCUUGCACCUCUGAAGAGACUUGUAUGGCUUUGAUUGAGGAUGAAAGCAUACAACACACAACCAUUGCCAACUGUUAUGGGCAGUUUGUUUUGGGUUCUUGUAGCAUCUUGAUAUGAGCACAUACAAAAACACCAGGAAAAUUGCACUGUGUACUCUUUUACUAACCCCUAGAAUCCAAUCACAUGUGGAGUGUCCAUCAUAAGCACUUAAACAUUUGAAAAUAAUGUAAUUAAACUGUUUUUUUUUUUUUUUGAUUUGGUAAGAAGAAAAAAACACCCAUCUUUCUGUCAGAGUCCUAUCAUUUAGGUAAAUACAGGUUGAGUAUUCCUUUUUUAAAAUGCUUGGGACCAGAAGUGUCUUCGAUUUCAGAUUUUGGCAUAUUUGCAUAUACAUAAUGAGAUGUCUUGGGGAUGCAACCCAAGUCUAAACACAAAAUUCAUUUAUAUUUCUUAUAUACCUUAUACACAUAGCCCAAAGGUCAUUUUACACAAUAUUUUCAAUAAUUUUGUGCAUGAAACAAAGUUUCAGUACAUUGAAUCAGCAGAAAGCAAAGGUGUCACUAGCUUAGUCACCUAUAUUCCAUCAUGUCAGUGCUCAAAAAUUUCAGAUUUUGGAGUAUUUGGAUUUUGGAUUUUCCCAUUUGGAGGUGCUCGAUCUGUAUUAUCGUAUCUUCUUGUACUUAUUUGGUCAUUGUUUUUGGACUUUUUAAAAAUAAAAAACCUUUCUAUAAACUUGACUCUGAGAUAGCAAAAGGUAUAAGAAGGCUUAGAUGUGGUGUAUUUUGAGUAAUCAAACUUUUAUUGUUUAUAACCUUUCCGAACAGAAUUAUGUUGAUUUUUAAGAAAAUAGCAAAGUUUUUCGGUCUCAUUAGUACUUUUAUUACCCUUUCUGUCUACAUAUCGGUGACAAGUACUUUUCAGAAGUAUUAAAAAUCAAUAUACAGAUAAAAGAGCUGGCAUAAAAACAAUUUGCUAUUUCCUGUAUUCACUCUGAGGCUGGGACUAUUAAGAUAUGUUUUAAAUAAGGGAGAGUGAAAUACUGGUCUGCAUCAUGAUUUGUCAUCCAUCUUUUUCAAAAAUGAGCUAAAUUUGAAAUGGAACAAGGAAGACCUAAGUCCUCUUCACAAGGCUUCCAGCCCCCCGCCAACUUCUGCACCCAGCCCCAAUUGGUUCAGCUCAACUUUCCCACCCGGCGUCCACCCUCAGGGCAUGGCUGGUGGUCCUGAGUUGCCCAGCAAUCCCAGUUACCCUCUCACAAUUUGGAAAGAGUGUUCACUCAGAAAGGGGACAUGCUAGCAUAGAUGAGCAGGGACCACCAAUAUACAGCACAGGCUGUGUCAGCUGAGAAAGAGCAUCCGGGGACAAGGGGAGACCUGGCGGGCUACUGUAAUCUGCUCCUGAGCCACGGUAUGACCACAGCCCAAAGCCCACCCUCAGGAGGGGGGCUGCUCCCACUGUCCAUCAUCAGCCAGCUAACUCUUGCAUUUCAUACCCAUAUUCAGGGGCAGAUAGAGCCCCUGUUGUCAAGAUGUUACAGUCUCAGAGGGAUUGGAACAGAGGCAUAUGUAACCAAUGGAAAUCACGCACAGAUCCAUAAAACUGUUAAAACGGUGCUACCUGCUCCUUGAACACUGGGUCGUAUCUUAAUAAGAAGAGAUGAUGGAUGGCGGGAGGGUAUUAUAGAAAGGCAUGGCAGAGGUGGAGAAAAGGCAAGGUGCCAGCCAGCCAUCUCACAUUAAGGAGGCUUCUGCCCUGGCCUCUCCUUCCAGGCCCUCAUGGGUGACAGCAGGUUCAGAAGAUCUCUGGGUCUGUUUCCCCCUGGGGAAGAAGCAUUAGAUUUUUUUUAACAUUAGAGGGCACCCAUGAGCACUAUUCAUCAGAGGGCAGAAACUCAUUGUUCUGUUCAAGUCAUUAUGAAUUAAUUACAUGUAUAUAUGCUUGGUCUGAUGAAAAUGAAAUCACUGAAGUUUGUUUUCCCUCUCUUCUCUUUUUUUUUUUUUUUUUUUUUUUUGUUAUUU